rnacentral:rRNA from 1 species
AUUGAACGCUGGCGGAAUGCUUUACACAUGCAAGUCGAACGGUAGAGGGGGCAACCCCUCGAGAGUGGCGAACGGGUGAGUAAUAUAUCGGAACGUGCCCAGUCGUGGGGGAUAACGUAGCGAAAGUUACGCUAAUACCGCAUACGAUCUAAGGAUGAAAGCGGGGGAUCGCAAGACCUCGCGCGAUUGGAGCGGCCGAUAUCAGAUUAGGUAGUUGGUGGAGUAAAGGCACACCAAGCCAACGAUCUGUAGCUGGUCUGAGAGGACGACCAGCCACACGAGAACGGAGACACGGUCCAGACUCCUACGGGAGGCAGCAGUGGGGAAUUUUGGACAAUGGACGCAAGUCUGAUCCAGCCAUUCCGCGUGCAGGAUGAAGGCCCUCGGGUUGUAAACUGCUUUUGUACGGAACGAAAAGGUCUCUCUUAAUACGGGGGACUCAUGACGGUACCGUAAGAAUAAGCACCGGCUAACUACGUGCCAGCCGCCGCCGUAA